UACGAAUGGGGCAAGCGUUGUUCGGAAUCACUGGGCUUAAAGCGUGCGCAGGCGGUUAUGAAAGUCAGAAGUGAAAUCCCAGAGCUCAACUCUGGAACUGCUUUUGAAACUCCAUAACUAGAAUCCGGGAGGGGUUAGGAGAAUUCCUAGUGUAGAGGUGAAAUUCGCAGAUAUUAGGAGGAAUACCAGUGGCGUAGGCGCCUAACUGGACCGGUAUUGACGCUCAUGUACGAAAGCGUGGGGAGCAAACAGG
rnacentral:rRNA from 1 species